UACAGGAUUAGAUACCCUGGUAGUCCACGCCGUAAACGAUGACAACUAGCUGUUAGGAGACUUUGUCUUUUAGUGGCGCAGCUAACGUUUUAAGUUGUCCGCCUGGGGAGUACGGCCGCAAGGCUAAAACUCAAAUGAAUUGACGGGGACCCGCACAAGCAGUGGAUCAUGUGGUUUAAUUCGAUGCAACGCGAAAAACCUUACCUACUCUUGACAUACUUGGAAGCCCUUGUAAUGAGAGUGUGCUUUUAAGAACCAAGAUACAGGUGCUGCAUGGCUGUCGUCAGCUCGUGUCGUGAGAUGUUCCGUUAAGUCGGAUAACGAGCGCAACCCUUACCCUUAUUUGCCAGCGAUUCGGUCGGGAACUAUAAGGGGACUGCCGGUGAUAAACCGGAGGAAGGUGAGGACGACGUCAAGUCAUCAUGGCCCUUACGAGUAGGGCUACACACGUGAUACAAUGGGAGAGACAGACGGACGCUAAGCCGCGAGGUGGUGCUAAUCCUAGAAACUCUCUCGUAGUCCGGAUUGGAGUCUGCAACUCGACUCCAUGAAGUUGGAAUUGCUAGUAAUCGCGGAUCAGCAUGCCGCGGUGAAUACGUUCUCGGGUCUUGUACACACCGCCCGUCACACCAUGGAAGUGGAUUGCACCAGAAGUAGAUAGUCUAACCUUAGGGAGGGCGUUUACCACGGUGUGCUUCAUGACUGGGGUGAAGUCGUAACAAGGUAACCGUA
rnacentral:rRNA from 1 species